rnacentral:rRNA from 1 species
GACCAACAGGGAUUGCCUUAGUAACGGCGAGUGAAGCGGCAAUAGCUCAAAUUUGAAAUCUGGCUCUUUCAGAGUCCGAGUUGUAAUUUGCAGAGGGCGCUUUGGUGUUGGCAGCGGUCCAAGUUCCUUGGAACAGGACGUCACAGAGGGUGAGAAUCCCGUACGUGGUCGCUAGCCUUCGCCGUGUAAAGCCCCUUCGACGAGUCGAGUUGUUUGGGAAUGCAGCUCUAAAUGGGAGGUAAAUUUCUUCUAAAGCUAAAUACUGGCCAGAGACCGAUAGCGCACAAGUAGAGUGAUCGAAAGAUGAAAAGCACUUUGGAAAGAGAGUCAAAUAGCACGUGAAAUUGUUGAAAGGGAAGCGCUUGCAGCCAGACUUGCCUGUAGUUGCUUAUCCGGACUUUUGUCCGGUGCACUCUUCUGCGGGCAGGCCAGCAUCAGUUUGGGCGGUUGGAUAAAGGUCUCUGUCAUGUACCUCUCUUCGGGGAGAACUUAUAGGGGAGACGACAUGCAACCAGCCUGGACUGAGGUCCGCGCAUCUGCUAGGAUGCUGGCGUAAUGGCUGUAAGCGGCCCGUCUUGAAACACGGACCAAGGAGUCUAACAUCUAUGCGAGUGUUUGGGUGUCAAGCCCAGACGCGUAAUGAAAGUGAACGGAGGUGGGAACCCUUUGGGUGCACCAUCGACCGAUCCUGAUGUCUUCGGAUGGAUUUGAGUAAGAGCAUGGCUGUUGGGACCCGAAAGAUGGUGAACUAUGCUUGAAUAGGGUGAAGCCAGAGGAAACUCUGGUGGAGGCUCGCAGCGGUUCUGACGUGCAAAUCGAUCGUCAAAUUUGGGCAUAGGGGCGAAAGACUAAUCGAC